rnacentral:sRNA from 1 species
CUCGUCCGCCCCGUGGACGCCCCGGACAUCCCCGGGCGGACCCGGUUACCCUGGCGUGGUGCGCCCGCCGCGGGAAGGCCUGCGGCACGGGCGCAAAGCCGACAGCCGUCGCACUCAGAGGGAGCCCCUUCAUG